AUGGAGGAUUAUUACGAAUACAAACAUGAGUUUGUUUUGAAGGCAUAUUUUAUAAAAUAAUUGGAAAGGAGGAAAUUCACACAUUAUUGGCUGGCAGCUUGGACUUCUUCCAGUCCUAUCUGAAACAAAACUAUGGCCACAUCGAGAUGGCUGGUUUAGCAGCAGAAGUCACCACAGAGGGUCAUGUGUGGACUACUGAUGCAACAAAAGUGAAAUUUAUUUGGGAUUAAAAGUUAACAGACCGUUGUGCAACCCGGUGAUAAUCUUGUAUUAAAGGAAGUUCUUAU